rnacentral:rRNA from 1 species
UACGGGGGGGGCAAGCGUUGUUCGGAAUUACUGGGCGUAAAGGGUUCGUAGGUGGCCAACUUAGUCAGACGUGAAAUCCCUCAGCUUAACUCCGAAACUGCAUUCGAUACUGCCGUGCUUGAGGACUGGAGAGGAGACUGGAAUUUACGGUGUAGCGGUGAAAUGCGUAGAUAUCGUAAGGAAGACCAGUGGCGAAGGCGGGUCUCUGGACAGUUACUGACGCUGAUGCACGAAGGCCAGGGGAGCAAACGGG